rnacentral:lncRNA from 1 species
ACCUUCAGAUUCUUCAGAGCUCUCUAUCCUUGCCCUCUUCGGUGUGUGCCUCCUUGAUGUAACAACCUUCUUUCUUUUCACACCUAAUUUGCUCUUUGCCAAUGGUUCCACGUUAGCGGAAGCUCCCUCUGCCGACUCUAUGCUUAGUGCAUUCUCUGCAUCCCCUUGAACCCCUUGAACAUCUGAGAAAUUACACAACAAACGGGUUAGACAGUUGACAGUUUUUAUUCUAAGAACAAACAUAAUUCUAUUUCUUGCGAAUUACAAUACCUGCUUGGGUUGAAUAAUUGGGCCUCUGCUUUCGUGCCCUCAUUGCAUCAGUU